UCUCUGUUGCGUUCUGGUCUCAGUCACCCUCAUUUCCCGUGACAGCUGACACACUCUCUGAGGCUUCCUUUCCCCCUCCCUGACCUCCCCCGGCCCCUGACGCAUUCUUUCUUGGAUGCUUCUAGUGGUGCCUGGUCAGUACCAGCCACGUGGCGUCAUUCCCCUGGGGAGACCCAGGGCUGCUGGCCUCGCCCGUAGGCUGCUGUGGUGUGGCCCCUGCUUUUCUCUCCAGCCUCAUUUUUUUCUGUUAACUUCAUUUAAUCCCGGCUCAUCACUUGUACCUCUUGCCCCCGGAUUUCCCUUCUCCUGGCCUUUGUCAUGCUGUCCCUCUAGCUGGUGCCUGUCUCCUGUGUAUUUCCGUUGGCCAUCGGCAUCCUCCAGGAAGGUGAAUUUGAGUCCUUGGCCAGGCGUGGCCUCCUGUUCUUGGCUUGCCAGGUGUGGCCCUUGGUUGGGGCCAGGCUUCCCAGGUGCCUUCUGCAGGCAGGACCAGAGGGGCCUGCCUGCCCCUGACCCGGGGUCCCCAUGGACAGUUGGCCCCCAGUGUUGGCCCCCAGGGCAUCCUUCCCUGUGUCUCAGACCUGAGGCCUCGGGCCCCCCGUGACGGUCCUCCUGACCUCUAGGGAAACUGCUAUGUCUGGAAUCUGACGGGGGGCAUUGGUGACGAGGUGACCCAGCUCAUCCCCAAGACCAAGAUCCCUGCCCACACGCGCUACGCCCUGCAGUGUCGCUUCAGCCCCGACUCCACGUGCGUGCAGGGCCUCCUGGCCCAGGAGGGGACCUGCCUGGGCUGGGGGCUGGAGAGGGGAAGGGCUGGUGGAUGGAGUAGCUGCUGCUGGACACGACCCAUGCCCACCCCCUAGGCUCCUCGCCACCUGCUCGGCUGAUCAGACCUGCAAGAUCUGGAGGACGUCCAACUUCUCCUUGAUGACGGAGCUGAGCAUCAAGAGCGGCAACCCCGGGGAGUCCUCUCGCGGCUGGAUGUGGGGCUGCGCCUUCUCGGGGGACUCCCAGUACAUCGUCACCGCUUCCUCGGACAACCUGGCCCGGCUCUGGUGUGUAGAGACUGGAGAAAUCAAGAGAGAGUAUGGCGGCCACCAGAAGGCUGUUGUCUGCCUGGCCUUCAACGACAGUGUGCUGGGCUAGCCUGUGACCCCUCGGGACUGCCUGGUGUAGGUGGUGGCAGCUGGAGGGACCCAUGCAGCACCCAGGUCAGAGCAGGCCCCCCUGCCGGCCUGCGCCAGCUGGACCUGAUGGCCCCCUGUGGCGCCUUGACCUGCUGGGCCAGGCCGCCCUGGGACUUUCAGCCCCCAGUUGCUUAUCUAGAUGUGACAGAGCUUGACCCAAGCCAGGCUGUACACUCCUGGACUGGGCUAGCCUGCACUGCCUGGGAAAGUUGGCCGAGGGCCCAAAGCUGCUAAGGGGUCUGAGGCUGAUGCCCGCCCCCAAGCUAGCGAGUUCUCUGCCCCUCCCUGCCCACGUUUCAGGGCCUCAGUCCAUAGAGAAUACCAUGGCCAGGUGGAAGGGUUUAUUAGUCCCUGCCGGCAGCUGUCCUCCCUGGUGCAGGUGGCCUGGCCAGCCCACUGGAUUGGGGACAGGGGCCGGGCUGGGCCAGGUUGGGGGCUCAGUCUGGGAGAUAAUAAAAGCAGACAGAC
rnacentral:sRNA from 1 species